ACGGCGAGUGAAGAGGGAAAAGCCCAAAUUUGUAAUCUGGCACUUUUUAGAGUCCGAGUUGUAAUUUUAAGAACUGUUUUCUGUACUGGACCAUGUACAAGUCUGUUGGAAAACAGCAUCAUUGAGGGUGAAAAUCCCGUACAUGAUAUGGACUACCAGUACAAUGUGAUACAGUCUCUAAGAGUCGAGUUGUUUGGGAAUGCAGCUCAAAGUGGGUGGUAAAUUCCAUCUAAGGCUAAAUAUAGGUGAGAGACCGAUAGCAAACAAGUACCGUGAGGGAAAGAUGAAAAGAACUUUGGAAAGAGAGUUAACAGUAUGUGAAAUUGUUAAAAGGGAAACAUUUGAAGUUAGACUUGUUAUUGUUGGUUCAACUUUCUCUUUUGAAGGUGUAUUCCAAUGGUUUUAACAGACCAGCAUCAAUUUUUGAGUGUUAGAUAAGGGUCUUGAGAAUGUAGCAACUUUGGUUGUGUUUUUAUAGCUCAUGACUUUUGAUAUAAUGCUUAGGAUUGAGGUAUGCAGUGAGC
rnacentral:rRNA from 1 species